GGGGUCUAUGACUCUGACAGAACUGUUGAACCCGCCACCCAUGUUUUGCAACAUUUGCAGGAAAAGUUGCCGAAACCAUUUUCUUGUCCCGCCUUUUUGAAAAUAAGAUGGCCGAACUCAUACCAUGGCAUUAACCAAUAGAAUUUGAGAGGUAAGAGGUUGGGUAAAGAGAUCUUUCAGUGGCCAUCUUGUUUAGACUUGUGCUCUGGGUAGCAACUUACAUGUCCAGUACACAAAGCUAUCAUCCAGUUUGCCGAUAUCCAGGAAAUUGUUUGCUGAUGUGACUUAAGACAACCAGAAUCAGGGAUACUUAUUGUGAAGCCUGUUUGUUCAAGAAAUUGAAAUGCCAUACUGGUUGAAACAAAGCAGGAAUUCAAUCUGGAUUAGGUUGAAACUAAUAAAAAGUGCUGUAUUGGUUUCUAAGUGCAUUCAUGCCAAUGUACAAUUGAUACAUUGGUACAUUGAUACAUCAGAUAAUCCAUAAAUGAAGUUGGUG